GAUGAACGCUGGCGGCGUGCUUAACACAUGCAAGUCGAACGGAAAGGCCCAAGCUUGCUUGGGUACUCGAGUGGCGAACGGGUGAGUAACACGUGGGUGAUCUGCCCUGCACUUCGGGAUAAGCCUGGGAAACUGGGUCUAAUACCGGAUAGGACCACAUUUUGGAUGGUGUGGUGGAAAGUUUUUCGGUGUGGGAUGAGCUCGCGGCCUAUCAGCUUGUUGGUGGGGUAAUGGCCUACCAAGGCGUCGACGGGUAGCCGGCCUGAGAGGGUGUACGGCCACAUUGGGACUGAGAUACGGCCCAGACUCCUACGGAAGGCAGCAGUGGGGAAUAUUGCACAAUGGGCGCAAGCCUGAUGCAGCGACGCCGCGUGGGGGAUGACGGCCUUCGGGUUGUAAACUCCUUUCGCUAGGGACGAAGCGUUAUGUGACGGUACCUGGAGAAGAAGCACCGGCUAACUACGUG
rnacentral:rRNA from 1 species